AAGAAUUACUUCAAUAUUCUCAACAUGUUAGAAAGUUGGGCCAUACAAUAUUUGAGUUACUAGCAGAGGCACUUGGGCUUAAGCCCAAUCACUUAUUGGACAUGGACUGUGCAAAAGGCCAAUUCAUAAUUAGUCAUUACUAUCCACCUUGUCCUGAGCCCAAUAAGACUCUUGGAAUCACUAAACAUACUGACCCAAAUUUCUUCACAAUUCUUCUACAAGAUCAAAUUGGUGGCCUUCAAAUUAAUCACCAAAAUCAAUGGAUUGAUAUUCAUCCUGUGACUGGAGCUCUAGUUAUCAAUCUUGGUGACCUUUUGCAGGUAAGUAUAUCUAGUCGGACAGAUUUACUGUUUACUUUUUUAAGUUGGUAUACAUAGAUCUUCAUACAUAUUAUACAUGAAUUAUACAUUCACUGACUUUUUUACAGGUAGUAUAUCUAAAACAAAUUACAUAUGUCUAGUCACUAGUGACAUGGACUGUAGAGUGUUGGUAGUGAGCUCGAUUUGACGUAUUAUUUCUAGCACACGCUAUAAGUAUAUAUGCGAUAAAUCGUGAAUAAUAGUAUAUACUAUAAGGAUAUUUCGUGUAUGGCUUAAUGGUAUAAGAAAUCUAUAUUGAACAAUAUAUAUAACUUAAACUCAUUUUGCAGCUUCUAUCGAAUGACAAGUUCAAAAGUGCUGAGCAUAGAGUAUUGGCAAAACAUAUUGGGCCAAGGAUUUCAAUUGCAUGUUUUUUCACAACUCAACUUUUGCCAUUUGAUACACUUUAUGGCCCAAUAAAGGAAUUGUUGUCUGAUGAAAAUCAUGCUUUGUACAAAGAAACAACAAUAAAAGAUUAUGUGUUAUAUUACAACUCCAAAGGACUUGGUGCUCUUCCUUCACUCCUACAUUUAAAGCUCUAGGAUGGAAAAGUGUAUAUUAUUUCACUUGCAAGGCUACCAUGUGUAAUUCGAGUUUUUAGGGUUCGUUUGGACAUGAUUUGUAAUAGAAUACGAUUUGAGAUAUGACGAGCUUUAAUUAAGUUAUCUUGUAAGUUUUUAAGAUAUCGUAUUUAAUAAAAUUUUAUGUCCUUGAAGGACAAGACUGCAUGUAGUACACCAUGAUUUGAAAUGAAUGUUGAAAUUGCUAAAUUGGAUAAGUCUUGAACUUUGCUAAAAUAUUUAUGAUUCUUAUAUGACUCCUUAACUAUUUGUGAACCCGCAGCACCAGGCUCACAGAAAUUUCAUAUGUUUACGGGCUAAUUACAUUCUAUUUUGAAAGUUUCUUCAAUUACACAAAUUCUGGAUUUUUCAUCACUAUAUGAUGGAUACAUUCACUGAUUGUCCGAUACAAUGCAAAUGAUACAUUACUUAAUGGGAGGAUGUAUUCGAGAGUGGAUAUGGAUGUAUCAGAGAGGGGAUUUUUGUAAAAAAAAAAUUAUAGAGGAUUUUAGAGAUUAUGAUAUCUGAAGUUGUGUAUUUAUGUAAUUUUUCCCAUAUUUAAAUGUUUCUUAUAAAAUGUUGAUUAUAAAAUUCAAGACAUGUUUUCGAUGAUUAUAUUGUAACUCUUUUCUUUUGAUUUUACACGAGACAAAUUGAGAUAAACUUCUAUUUUGAAUAGAUAAAAGGGAAUUGUUCAGAUAAUAUACACCUCUCAUUUUUAAUCUUAAGGUUAUGAAUUCGAGUCAUCAAAAAGUGAAACCCGAGUAAAAAUAUUUAAACAAAGAUUAUAUUUUAAUAUAUAAUAUAAUAUAUAAAGUUUUGAUCUAAUCAAACAAUUCACAUUUAAUCUCAAAAUUAUUAUUCUUUGUCCCACUAAUCAAAAGACCCCUUAAUUAAAUACUACUCUAUACCGGAUUACAAAGUAGAUGCUUCAUUUUUAAGUCAAUAUGACUAAAUAAAUUAGUCAUAUAUUUGUCUUUUAUGUCAUCCCUUAUAUUAUACUCCAAUUUUAAAUUAACAAAAAUAAAGUUAGAGAUAUGGUUACGUGAGCGUAAACUAAAAAUAUAAUUACGUGAAUAUAAUAUUCUUUGUCUCAAAAAUUGUCAUAUUUUGUUUUUUUGGAAGGGUCAAACAAAAUAAAUUUUGAUCGAUAUUUUCAAAUAUAUUUUUUCAGUAAAUUGACAUGAAAAAAAAAAUUAUAACAAAAAGUAUUUUCGUUUAAAUUUGAAUAUAUAAAUUCUUAUAUCAAAUAUUAAAUUAAUUUUAUUUCAAAAAAGUAUUGAUUUUCGAAAAGCAAAAUACGACAACUAAUUUAAUUCGAGCUACAAUAAUUUUAUGAGAAUUACAAUAUGGGGAAUCGAACCUUUACAAACAACUAAAAUUGAAUCAAUUACGUGUGGAAAUAAAUAAGACAUUUGCUUUGUCCAUUUUGUCAUCCCUUAUCUCCUAACCUAUAUAGAUCUACAAAAUAAUCAAAAGCUAAACAUAUUCUAAAACUCUCUUCUUACCAAAAAAUAAAAAUAAAAAAUGGCAAACUAUGAUCGAGCAAAAGAUCUCAAAGCCUUCGAUGACACAAAGGCCGGUGUAAAAGGACUAGUCGAUUCCGGGAUAGUUCAUAUUCCCGAGAUCUUUGUUACAUCGGCCUUAACAGAAAAUGAGUUAAGUGCUAAGAAUCUUGAUUCAGACUCAAACGUAGUCAACGUUCAAAUCCCAGUUAUAGAUCUAAAGGGUAUGAAUGGAGACGAUUUUCGACGUAGAAGAAUUGUUGAAGAGGUUGGUGAGGCAUGUAAGACUUGGGGAUUUUUUCAAGUUCUGAACCAUGGUGUGCCACAACAUGUUAUGGAUGAGAUGAUUAGUGGAGUUAAAAGUUUUAAUGAGCAAUCAAAUGAGAAAAAGAUGGAGUUUUAUUCAAGGGAUAAUUUGAAGAAAGUGAAAUUUAAUAGUAAUUUUGAUCUUUAUUCAUCUAAAGCUGCAAAUUGGAGGGAUAGUUUAACUUGUGUUAUGGCUCCUAAUCCUCCUACUAAAGAUGAAUUACCAGAAGCAUGCAGGUAAUUUUCAGCUAAAACCCUCUUUGAUGAUAUUAUGUUGGUUGUUCUAAAAGAGGAAUAUAAUUUUACUUAUCUGUCUCAAUUUGCGUGAUAUUAUUUGAUUUUCAAAAUCUAAACAACGUGAACUUUAAUUGAUAUAUUAUGAUGGCGGAAAGAAGCUAGCAAAUAAAAAAGUCUUUCCCUCCUUGAUUAUGUGUUUUCACAUUGAUAUGAGCAUUGAUAUGAGCAAACUUAUAAUUUUAUCAUAUAAUUUAAAUAUAUAUAUAUAUUUAUUUUUUUAUUUUUUUAUUUUAUUUAUUUUAUUUAUUUUAUUUUUUUAUUUUUUAUUUUAUUUUUUAUUUUCAAAAAUAUUUAUUUAAUUUUGAAGAUUGAAUAAAUUAAUUCUCGAUAAUCAAAAGAUGUAUUCAAAUUGAAAUGGGAAGUCUAAACUCUAUACGGUGCCACUUAGGUUUCCUUUUUUAAUUAAUUAAUUAGUGGAGAAAGACAAAGUGGUUCUUUUUUUUCUCCUUUUGUGGCUUACGGCUUACCUCUUAUUAAAAUGAUUAAAUAAAUAAUUGGUUGUUAUCUGCCUCAAAUUAAUAUUGAUAACGGGCCACUAAUUCAUCAUGAUAAAAAGGAGCUAUCUACUUUAUUAAUGGUCAUAUAUAUAUAUAUAUAUAUAUACACGACCCCUUGUCAGCACGUGCUUAAUAAAUAUAAUUGGAAAAACUACAUAAAUGAGUCAUAAAAUUCAAAAUAAUUACCAGACGUUCAUACCCAAAUUCAAAGUAAUUUCUGAAAUACUCAUUCUCUCAGAAAAUAAUUACAGCUCAUAUUCUCAUUCAUUAAGACUGAUAACUUUCGAUAACUAAUACUAAAUCAAUAUCAUAUAAUGUAUUGGUAUCAUUAAGGCUGAUGAUUUCGCUUAACUGAUACUAAAUCAGUAUAUAUAUAAUGUAUUGGUAUCAUUAAGAUUUCUUGUUCAGAAAUUACUCAUUAGUCAAUGAUACUAUAAGAAUAUAUGUAUAUUGUUGUGAUAUCAUUAAGAUUUCUUGUUCAGAAAUUACUCAUUAGUCAAUGAUACUAUAAGAAUAUAUGUAUAUUGUUGUGAUAUCAUUAAGAUUUCUUGUUCAGAAAUUACUCAUUAGUCAAUGAUACUAUAAGAAUAUAUGUAUAUUGUUGUGAUAUCAUUAAGAUUUCUUGUUCAGAAAUUACUCAUUAGUCAAUGAUACUAUAAGAAUAUAUGUAUAUUGUUGUGAUAUCAUUAAGAUUUCUUGUUCAGAAAUUACUCAUUAGUCAAUGAUACUAUAAGAAUAUAUGUAUAUUGUUGUGAUAUCAUUAAGAUUUCUUGUUCAGAAAUUACUCAUUAGUCAAUGAUACUAUAAGAAUAUAUGUAUAUUGUUGUGAUAUCAUUAAGAUUUCUUGUUCAGAAAUUACUCAUUAGUCAAUGAUACUAUAAGAUUAUAUAUAUACUCUUAUAGUAUCAUUGACUAAUGAGUAAUUUCUGAACAAGAAAUCUUAAUGAUAUCACAACAAUAUACAUAUAUUCUUAUAGUAUCAUUGACUAAUGAGUAAUUUCUGAACAAGAAAUCUUAAUGAUAUCACAACAAUAUACAUAUAUUCUUAUAGUAUCAUUGACUAAUGAGUAAUUUCUGAACAAGAAAUCUUAAUGAUAUCACAACAAUAUACAUAUAUUCUUAUAGUAUCAUUGACUAAUGAGUAAUUUCUGAACAAGAAAUCUUAAUGAUAUCACAACAAUAUACAUAUAUUCUUAUAGUAUCAUUGACUAAUGAGUAAUUUCUGAACAAGAAACCUUAAUGAUACCAAUACAGUAUAUAUAUUGAUUUAGUAUCAAUUAAGAGAAAUUAUCAAUAUAAUGAUAUCAAUACAAUAUAUGAUAUUGAUUUAGUAUCAGUUAAGCGAAAACACCGGUCUUAAUGAUACCAAUACAAUAUAUGAUACUGAUUUAGCAUCAGUUAAGUGAAACUAGUUGGGGGUAUAUAGUGUAAUUAUUUAGUAGGGGUAUGAAUGUAAAGGGGUAUAUGUUUGUAAUUAUUUUGCUUUUAUGGGGUAUUUGCUUAGUUUCCCUUUUUUUUUUUAUCCUAAUUAGUGUGAUACAGUGGAACUUGAGAAGUUAUUUAAAUUUUAAUAUGCUUUUUAAAAAUAUUUUAAGUUAUUAAUUAUUAUUUUUUAUAUAACUUUGAAAUAAUAUAUAUUAUUUCGCUGUCCCAAUUUAUGCGGUACGGCUAGAAUUUCACAAACUAAUCAUUUAUAUGUAUUUUAAAUAUUUCAAGUUGUUAAUUAUUGUAAUUUGUAGUAUCUUUUACGUAAUUUUUGAAUAAUAUAUGUUACUUUUUAUGUCCCAAUUUAUGUGACAUUGAUAUAUUUUAGAGAGUCGGCCAAAUUUUUUAUGUCUUUUGAAAUUCUUAAGUUGUUAAUUAUUUUAAUUUAUAAUACUUUUUACGUCAUUUUCAAAUAAUAUAUGUUAUUUGCUAUUAGUCUAUUACCCAUUUUAUGUGUCACCGAUAGAAUUUUGAAAGUCAAUUAAUUUUUUUAUAUGACUUUUAAAUAUUUUAACUUGUUAAUUAUUGUGAUUUAAAGUAUUAUUAUCAUAUUUUUCAAAUAUAUAAGAAUAAAUUAUCAAAUUAUCCUUGUCUAGAUAUAUAAGCCCGGGCCAACAAUUAUAUGUCUCAAUUUACAUGAUACAAAUGAACUUUUAAAUAAUAUAUGUAGAAUUUUAAGUGUUGAUCAGAUUUUUUAUAUUAUUUUUAAAUAUUAGUAAUGCAAAUAUUUAAAACAUAGUAUCAAUUAAAUUUUAGUCUUAGUAAUGAAAUGUGAAAUAUUUUAAAUUUUAUUAGUUAAUUAUAUUUUACAUGAAAAUAAUAUGUUUUUUCUUCAAACGCAACAACAAAGAAAGCCCAAAAUAAGUGAGUAUAAUAUUACUAAACAUUACAUCUGAUAGAACGUGUAGAUCCGAGUAAGUCCUAACAUCACCAAUAUGCCUUUUUAGGCAUUGCAAAAGGGCUCACAUUUCAGUAUAUUUACUAAUGCAAAUUACCCCGGUCUAAGAAGCAGACAUGUUGACGAACAACUGCUUCCUAGACUCUUCUCUCUCUAUAUAUAUAUAUAAAGAAAGGUGAGGUUGGAAAUUUAAUUUUCUGCUAAGUUCGUUUUAAAAGAAUGUCUUUUAUCUUUUUUUGUAACAAUUCUUUAAUUCUAACUAUAUAUUAUUAUUAUUUUGUUCUUUUGUUAGGGAGGAACUACUUCAAUAUUCUGAGCAUGUAAGAAAGUUGGGCCAUACAAUAUUUGAGCUACUAGCAGAGGCACUUGGGCUUAAGCCCAAUCACUUAUUGGACAUGGACUGUGCAAAAGGCCAAUUCAUAAUUAGUCAUUACUAUCCACCUUGUCCUGAGCCCAAUAAGACUCUUGGAAUCACUAAACAUACUGACCCAGAUUUCUUCACAAUUCUCCUACAAGAUCAAAUUGGUGGCCUUCAAAUUAAUCACCAAAAUCAAUGGAUUGAUAUACAUCCUGUUACUGGAGCCCUAGU
rnacentral:lncRNA from 1 species